CGAAUGAAGCGGCAAGAGCCCAAAUUUGAAAUCGGGCAACCGAGUUGUAAUUUGGAGACGGGACACUAGAGAGGAGGAAGGCGAUUAAGUGCCUUGGAACAGGCUGCCGUAGAGGGUGAGAGCCCCGUGAAUCGCUGGAGACCGAUCAAUUAGUGCCCGCCGAAGAGUCGAGUUGUUUGGGAAUGCAGCUCUAAGUGGGUGGUAUAUUCCAUCUAAGGCUAAAUAUUAGCGAGAGACCGAUAGCAAACAAGUACAGUGAUGGAAAGAUGAAAAGAACUUUGGAAAGAGAGUGAAAUAGUACGUGAAAUUGUUGAAAGGGAAGGGUAUUUGAUCCGACAUGGUGUUUAGCAGCGGCCCGUUCCUCGUGGAUGGGUGCACCUGGUUUACACUGGGCCAGCAUCGGUUCUGGGAGCCAUAUACGGGGUUCGUGAAUGUGGCCCUUCGAUUCUGUCGGAGGGUGUUAUAGCGCGGACAUCUUGUGGCUAGCCG
rnacentral:rRNA from 1 species